rnacentral:rRNA from 1 species
AGUGAACGCUGGCGGUAGGCCUAACACAUGCCAGUCGAACGGCAGCACAGUAAGAGCUUGCUCUUACGGGUGGCGAGUGGCGGACGGGUGAGGAAUACAUCGGAAUCUACUUUUUCGUGGGGGAUAACGUAGGGAAACUUACGCUAAUACCGCAUACGACCUACGGGUGAAAGCAGGGGAUCUUCGGACCUUGCGCGAUUGAAUGAGCCGAUGUCGGAUUAGCUAGUUGGCGGGGUAAAGGCCCACCAAGGCGACGAUCCGUAGCUGGUCUGAGAGGAUGGUAGGCCACACGGGAAGUGAGACACGGUCCAGACUCCUACGGGAGGCAGCAGUGGGGAAUAUUGGACAAUGGGCGCAAGCCUGAUCCAGCCAUACCGCGUGGGUGAAGAAGGCCUUCGGGUUGUAAAGCCCUUUUGUUGGGAAAGAAAAGCAGCAGGUUAAUACCCCGCUGUUCUGACGGUACCCAAAGAAUAAGCACCGGCUAACUUCGUG